GACGAACGCUGGCGGCGUGCUUAACACAUGCAAGUCGAACGGUAAGGCCCUUCGGGGUACACGAGUGGCGAACGGGUGAGUAACACGUGGGUGAUCUGCCCUGCACUUCGGGAUAAGCCUGGGAAACUGGGUCUAAUACCGGAUAGGACCACUGCCUGCAUGGGUGGUGGUGGAAAGCUUUUGCGGUGUGGGAUGGGCCCGCGGCCGAUCAGCUUGUUGGUGGGGUGAUGGCCUACCAAGGCGACGACGGGUAGCCGGCCUGAGAGGGUGACCGGCCACAGUGGGCCUGAGAUACGGGCCAGACUCAUACGGGAGGCAGCAGUGGGGAAGAUUGCACAAUGGGCGCAAGCCUGAUGCAGGGACGCCGCGUGAGGGAUGACGGCCGUCGGGUUGUAAACCUCUUCCGGCACCGACGAAGCGCAAGUGACGGUAGGUGCAGAAGAAGGACCGGCCAACUACGUGCCAGCCGCCGCCGUAA
rnacentral:rRNA from 1 species